GUAGGUGGCAAGCGUUGUCCGGAAUUAUUGGGCGUAAAGCGCGCGCAGGCGGUCCUUUAAGUCUGAUGUGAAAGCCCACGGCUCAACCGUGGAGGGUCAUUGGAAACUGGGGGACUUGAGUACAGAAGAGGAAAGCGGAAUUCCAAGUGUAGCGGUGAAAUGCGUAGAGAUUUGGAGGAACACCAGUGGCGAAGGCGGCUUUCUGGUCUGUAACUGACGCUGAGGCGCGAAAGCGUGGGGAGCAAGCAGGGAUUAGAUACCCUGGUAGUCCACGCCGUAAACGAUGAGUGCUAAGUGUUAGGGGGGUUUCCGCCCCCUUAGUGCUGCAGCUAACGCAUUAAGCACUCCGCCUGGGGAGUACGGCCGCAAGGCUG
rnacentral:rRNA from 1 species